CUUCAGCGAACCGAGCCACAACGGCCGUUCCGCCGGGCGGCCCUGUCCGUACGUCGCCAGGAGCGCCCGCGCCUC
rnacentral:antisense_RNA from 1 species